rnacentral:lncRNA from 1 species
AAAUAGGUCUGGGUUGGGGCUUAUUGGUUAAACUCCUGUGGUUCAAUCUCUGGUAUGAAAAAAGAAAGGUGAAGGAAAGAAUAAUUGGAAAAUAGAAGAAUAUAAUGAGAAAUAUUAGUAUUUACUUAUGUUGAAAUAAUAUUAAAGCUAAAACUAGCAACCACAACCAUAGUAUCAUUUGUUUGGCCUAGAUAGAAUAGCUAUUGAUAUAUUUCACCUCAAAGAACUCUGGCCAAUUGACAUCAAACUUGGGCUCUAAAGGCAGAUGGACCUAGAUGAUAAUUACAGCCCUGCUAGCCAAAAGACCUUGUGUAACCUUGACAUCUUAAAAUCUCAAUGUCUAUAAAAUAAAAAUAAUGGUCAAGUAUACAUCAUGUUUGUGAGGCUUAAAUGUCAUUAAGCACAUAAUGCACUUAAUACUUUGCUAGUUAAAUAUGCUCAAUAAAUGCUAUCACUAACUUGGUCUAUUUUUGUCUGAUGCAAUGUUAUUUUCUUAUGCCAAUCUGAUGGCCAGGCAAUAAAUCUGUUAAACUUUAAUAAUGAGAGAAAGAUAGUGGUACAGGAGCUUUCUAUCAUAAUCCCUCCUGCA